rnacentral:rRNA from 1 species
AGAGUUUGAUCCUGGCUCAGGACGAACGCUGGCGGCGUGCUUAACACAUGCAAGUCGAACGGUAAGGCCCUUCGGGGUACACGAGUGGCGAACGGGUGAGUAACGCGUGAGUAACCUGCCCUUCACUCUGGGAUAACAGUUGGAAACGGCUGCUAAUACCGGAUAUUCAGCUCCUGUCGCAUGGUGGGGGUUGGAAAGUUUUGGUGGUGGAGGAUGGGCUCGCGUCCUAUCAGCUUGUUGGUGGGGUGAUGGCCUACCAAGGCGUCGACGGGUAGCCGGCCUGAGAGGGCGACCGGCCACAUUGGGACUGAGAUACGGCCCAAACUCCUACGGGAGGCAGCAGUGGGGAAUAUUGCACAAUGGGCGAAAGCCUGAUGCAGCAACGCCGCGUGAGCGAUGAAGGCCUUUGGGUCGUAAAGCUCUGUCCUUGGGGAAGAAACAAAUGACGGUACCCUUGGAGGAAGCCCCGGCUAACUACGUGCCAGCAGCCGCGGUAAUA